rnacentral:piRNA from 1 species
UUUCCAUACGCUUCAAGCAAA